rnacentral:lncRNA from 1 species
UCGUUCGUCACGCUAGCAAAAACAGUCGUCAUGCAGCGAAACAAGGCGACAUAUCGUCAUACUAGUUACAAUCGCCAAAAAGGCAUCAGGUAUAAAGUUAUUCAUAAAUGAUAUAUAAUUAUAUUUAAAGUGCUAAAGACAUUGCAGGUGCAAAGUUAAAAAUUUCAAAGGCGAGAUUAUUUUCAACACCAAACGCAAAGUACAGUGGAAGGGCGACUCCAAGCAGCGCCAAUUCUUUCUAAAUCGCCAAGGAACAGGAGUUACAAAAUAAGG